rnacentral:misc_RNA from 1 species
AUAAAAAAAAUCAAAACAAAUAAUUAUAAUUAGACCCAUCAAGGAACUUUUAAUUAUUAUUCCAUUAUGUCAAAUUUUUUUGUGCGACCAAACAUUCGUAUAAAAAAUAUGCAAUGUAAUUUACAACUUUAAUUACAUUAUAAUUUUGAUUACGCAUACCAAACAAGGCCUAAAAUAAGAACCACCACCCCAGUACAAUCAAUCAAUAUUAUCAAAAGAUUACAUUUAAUCAGCUUUAAAAAAAACAAAAAGAAAACCAUUAAUUUGGUGAAAAUUGUAGAAGAAUUCUAGAAACAAUGCAGUAUUCUUUUGAGGCAUUUGAUGAAACAACUGAAUUACAAAACAAGACACCCAAAACUACUAUCCACGAUAUUUGUCUGCAAUGACCUUUAAAAAGAAAGUUCUAAAUAACUCAACUAGAAUUUAAAGGCACAAAUUUAUACUUCAUAACUCCUAAUACAGCAAUAGGUGAGUAAUUCAAUUCCUUGUUCUAAACAAAAGCUACUUCAAAAAUUACAUGAAUUAUGCUCCCCGGGGCUGUUAUUUAGGUAAAUCGUCGGAUGGGGGACAACCCAAAUCCACUACAAAAUCAAGCAGUGUAAUUAAAAUAUAAAAAUAAAGUGAUCAAGCUCAAGGGAAAGGCUAAUCAAAUGGAGGCCUAAGGUAUAGUUUUAGUACCUACCAGUUGUUGGGAUGGAUGAAACGUGCUCCGAUGAGUUUAAGAAAGAAGUGUUGCCUUGGACACUCUAUACUAAGGCACGGACCGGGUGCGGCUGGCAACACAAAAAUUACACAGAAAAGGGACGAAGUGAGAGAGUGAUAGGAGACAAAAGAAACAAUAGAUGGGCAGGGAGAAGUUGCUAUUACCGGUGGCUUGGAGAGAUAGUGGAUGGUUUUGGUCGAAAUAGUUUGGAAUUGCGGGUGUGAUGGCGGUUGAUUUAGUGGUGGGAAUGGAAAUGGUAGUUUCGUGGAGGCUGGAGGAAAAGAAUAGACAAUGGAUCCUUGUUAUACAGGAGAAAUUUUGAGAAUUUUGAGAAUUUUGGGUUGGAGAUGGUGGCUGAGCGCGGCGUGUCCAGGGGUGGGCGCUAGGGAAGGAGGGAAAUUGGGCUUAAGAUUUUCAAUGAAAA